GCAAACUUGGUCAUUUAGAGGAAGUAAAAGUCGUAACAAGGUUUCCGUAGGGUAGGAUCUCCCAUCUUCAUAUUCCAUCUCUUCAAUUUUGCUAACCAAGUCACAGUGAACCUGCGGAAGGAUCAUUACUGAGAGUUGGGGCUUCGGCCCCCUACCCUCCACCCUUUUGUGUACCUGUUUGUUGCUUUGGCGGGCCGUCGUUCUCGCCGUCGGCCUUUGGGCUGGCGAGUGCCCGCCAGAGGUUUUACCAAACUCUGUCACGUCAAGUCUGAACCCUCUCGGGUUUAUAUGAAAUAAGUCAAAACUUUCAACAACGGAUCUCUUGGUUCCGGCAUCGAUGAAGAACGCAGC
rnacentral:misc_RNA from 1 species